rnacentral:rRNA from 1 species
GACGAACGCUGGCGGCGUGCUUAACACAUGCAAGUCGAGCGGAAAGGCCCUGCUUGCAGGGUACUCGAGUGGCGAACGGGUGAGUAACACGUGGGUGAUCUGCCCUGCACUUCGGGAUAAGCCUGGGAAACUGGGUCUAAUACCGGAUAGGAGCCAUUUUUAGUGUGAUGGUUGGAAAGUUUUUUCGGUGUAGGAUGAGCUCGCGGCCUAUCAGCUUGUUGGUGGGGUAAUGGCCUACCAAGGCGGCGACGGGUAGCCGGCCUGAGAGGGUGGACGGCCACAUUGGGGCUGAGAUACGGCCCAGACUCCUACGGGAGGCAGCAGUGGGGAAUAUUGCACAAUGGGCGCCAGCCUGAUGCAGCGACGCCGCGUGGGGGAUGACGGCCUUCGGGUUGUAAACUCCUUUCGCUAGGGACGAAGCUUUUUGUGACGGUACCUAGAUAAGAAGCACCGGCUAACUACGUG